rnacentral:lncRNA from 10 species
AGUUGAGUGUGAAGACCUGAGGUAUCAGGGGUAGGGGUUGCUCUGCUUGUGUAAGUCCCAUAGUGUGAAGGCCAGAGAACCAAGAGAUGGUCAAGAAGAGAGAGAGCAUCACGACCUGUGCAGACUCCCCAGCAUCAUAACAGGAAGGUCCCACGAUCACGAGCACAUUGCCUUCAGCAUCCAGCACUGAAUAUGGUGAAUUGCACUCUGAAGAGCUUCCUAAGCUUGUAAGAAAGUGAUUCUGAAAAGCUCAACAUUUUGGUAGAAUGGAGAGAUUUGACAUUGCUUCUGCUCCAAAAGCAAAAGACUUGGGAAGGGCACCCUGGGAGUUGAGAACAUCCACCACAGAGAGGCCUGGCGUAAAGGAGAUGGGACUCACACCCAAGAGGAUGCAUUUCCAUACACCCAUUUCUGAAAUAUGAAGAGGUGUCCAGUCUGUUUGAUUCAUAGCUGCCUGUUCCACAACUGCAGAUACACCCAGAAGCUAAAAAUCACCUGCCAUCUUGGAAAUAAUCCCUGGAGGAUCAAGUCCAAGGGGGAGAAGUGGACUGGUCACCCCAGCCGAGGUUAUCUAAGUUCCAUGGCUUACUCCAGACAGGAAGCCCCACAUCCUGCAGCCUCAUUCAUAAUCCAUAAUAGAUGGUGUUCUUGGAUCCCAAGUUGAGAAAAGAAGUUAACUAUGCACAUUUUGGCAAAGAUGCAGACCAGGGUUUGAUCUAAGCAGCUAUCACAUAAAAUAAUAAAGUACAAAUGGAAAUGGCAAAAAUG